UACGGAGGGUCCAAGCGUUGUCCGGAAUCACUGGGUGUAAAGGGUGUGUAGGCGGACUGGCAAGUCAGGGGUGAAAGCCUACGGCUUAACCGUAGAAUUGCCUUUGAUACUGCUAGUCUUGAGUACUGGAGAGGCCACUGGAAUUCGUGGUGUAGCGGUGAAAUGCGUAGAUAUCACGAGGAACACCUGAGGCGUAGGCGGGUGGCUGGACAGAUACUGACGCUGAGGCACGAAAGCGUGGGGAGCAAACAGG
rnacentral:misc_RNA from 1 species